rnacentral:pre_miRNA from 1 species
AGGAGGAACAGCCCCAGUGGCGGGGCAGCUCUGGAAAUCUGGAUUCAGCUCCGGCAAGAACUCCGGAGCUCUCGGUCUGCAGGGCCUGGAGGCUCCGGGGCGGG